rnacentral:tRNA from 1 species
AACGUGGCUGAGUGGUCUAAGGCGACAGUUUGCUACACUGUUACCCAUACAGGGUGCGCGAGUUCGAAUCUCGU